rnacentral:pre_miRNA from 1 species
UUAAACAUGAGUUUCAUGUGUCUGUAUUACUAACAUGAGUUUCAUGUGUCUGUAUUACUAGUAAUACAGACACAUGAAACUCAUGUUA